AUAAUACUCUUUUUAUAUGUUAUGGUCCCUGGACCCUAUAACAUAUAAAAAGGCAACAUUCAGGGCAUACUUUAAAAGAUUGUACCUAUACUCUACAGAACAACAAGACCUUACUGCAGAGUUGAAGUAUAUAUAUGAGGUUGUCCGACAGCAUUGUUAUGGAAGAAGCUUUUUAAAAGACAUACAAAUAAAGGUAAGCCAAGACCUAGCUCAAAACUUACCCACUCUGCAUAGCUCAAAUAUAGGAGAGGUGCAGAGCCAGCAGUAUGUUCUGUUACCAUUCCCAAUGACAAGACUUAGCUCGG
rnacentral:lncRNA from 1 species